CAGUCGCCACGGUAAAACCAGCAGCCCAAGUGGUGGUCGCGAUUAUUGGGCCUAAAGCGCUCGUAGCCGGGCCGGUAAGUCCCUUGUGAAAUCGGACGGCCUAACCGUUCGGCGUGCAAGGGAUACUGUCGGUCUUGAGGCCGGGAGACGUCCGAGGUACUCCGGGGGUAGCGGUGAAAUGUUCUGAUCCUCGGGGGACCACCGGUGGCGAAGGCGUUCGACGAGAACGGGCCUGACGGUGAGGGGCGAAGGCUAGGGGAGCAAACGGGAUUAGAUACCCGGGUAGUCCCUGUCUCUUAUA
rnacentral:rRNA from 1 species